AUCCGAUCAGAUAAUUUUUUCUUCAUUGAGGUUGCAUCCACCAACUGAUCAAUUUGAGAUAGAGGGUAGCUAUUCUUGAGACAUGCUUUGUUGAGGUCGGUGUAGUCGAUAUAAAUGCAUCAUUUUUCAUUAGCUUUUUUGACUAGGAUGAUAUUGGCUAACCAUUCUGGAUAAUAAACUUUUCGAACAAACCUUGCCUUUGGAAGCUUGUCGACCUCUUCCUAUAUGGCCUUUUGUCGCUCAGGGCAAAGCUGUGCUUCUUUGGUAUGACUGGAUGAUGCUUCAGAUCCAUGUUGAGAUGAUGAACUAUGACC
rnacentral:lncRNA from 1 species